AUUGAACGCUGGCGGCAGGCCUAACACAUGCAAGUCGAACGAGUGGCGGACGGGUGAGUAAUGUCUGGGAAACUGCCUGAUGGAGGGGGAUAACUACUGGAAACGGUAGCUAAUACCGCAUACCAUCGGAUGUGCCCAGAUGGGAUUAGCUAGUAGGUGGGGUAAAGGCUCACCUAGGCGACGAUCCCUAGCUGGUCUGAGAGGAUGACAAGACACACUGGAACUGAGACACAGUCCAGACGCCUACAGGAGGCAGCAGUGGGGAAUAUUACACAAUGGGCGCAAGCCUGAUGCAGCCAUGCCGCGUGUAUGAAAAAGGCCUUCGGGUUGUAAAGUACUUUCAGCGGGGAGGCGUUACCCGCAGAAGAAGCACCAGCUAACUCCGUGCCAGCAGCCGCGGUAAUAC
rnacentral:rRNA from 1 species